rnacentral:rRNA from 1 species
GACGAACGCUGGCGGCGUGCUUAACACAUGCAAGUCGAGCGGUAAGGCCCUUUCGGGGGUACACGAGCGGCGAACGGGUGAGUAACACGUGGGUGACCUGCCCUCAGCUCUGGGAUAAGCCUGGGAAACGUGGGUCUAAUACCGGAUAUGACUCCAUGACGCAUGUCGUGGGGUGGAAAGCCUUGUGCGGCUGGGGAUGGGCCCGCGGCCUAUCAGCUUGUUGGUGGGGUGAGGCCUACCAAGGCGACGACGGGUAGCCGGCCUGAGAGGGCGACCGGCCACACUGGGACUGAGACACGGCCCAGACUCCUACGGGAGGCAGCAGCGGGGAAUCUUGCGCAAUGGGCGAAAGCCUGACGCAGCGACGCCGCGUGAGGGAUGACGGCCU